rnacentral:lncRNA from 1 species
GCGAAAUGGCCCCGCCUCUGUGUACGCCCCCUCCUCCUCCCCCUCCUCCUUCCACUCUGCUCGUUUGCUUCGUUUCAGUUCUCAUCGCCAUGUGCUUGUGGGUUGCGGCAGCGACUGGUGUAGUUUGGACAGGAGCAAGUGCGCCAAUUAAUUCUGAUGCGGUGAGAUGCACAGGGAGGCUUGCAUUGGCAAGGCUAGCAGGAGGCCGUUCUCAGGAGGUCUGCGCGACGACGGCGGUAGGUACGGCCGAAAGGAGUGAAUUAAGUGAUCCACAGUUGUUCUCUGUUUUACACCCAUAGCAAACUUCAGAUUUGAGCAUUGAUCCGACUGUUUAGUAGUAAACCAAAUCACUUAAUAUCCAUUGUUCACGCUGAGUGAAUCUCACAUCAAAACACCCAGUUUGCAACUGUAGUGAAAUACAAGGUGUUGGGUUAAUUUGUUCAGGACUACAGUCUCUGAUUUAGGUGUAGGAAAAUUUCCUCAGAACUACGCCCCUCUGAUUUAGGUAUAGGAUAAUCUCUCUCCAUAUUAGGUUUAUCAUGUCCAUUGAAAAUGCAUGAAUCUCUACUAUCAUGUUCUUCAGAACAAAUUUAAGUCAUAGCUCAAAAACCUUCACACAGAUUCUUUUGAUUAGGAACGAAUGAAUGGUAAAUACUUACUUAUAGUAGCUGUUAAUUUGUAGACGCUAUUAACUGUUACUUGUGAUUUUUCAUCUCCUUGCAGUUGGUCCUGUUUUCCCAUAUCAUCUGCUUUGUAGAGAUAAUCUCUCUUUGAUUUUGCAUUUGGCUUACUCAUUAGUUUGCCUAUUUGCUUCAGUAUUGCUUUUGUCCCAUCCGACUAUCAUGCAGUCUGACUUAAUUAAGCUGAGUAAUUAUUUUUCAGGGUGAAUUGAGUUCAGAUCUUUGAACAAAUGAUUGUGAUUUUGUAGCUACAGGGUGCUAUUCUUUAUUAUUACUUGGUAUGUCAGUACUUCCUACCUACUUGAAUUUCCCUAUUCCCAACUCAUGGGAUUUUUAAAUUUUGAUAUUUCCCUAAAUGAUUAUACAUAACUUAUGAUAACACAUGCCACCCAGUUUUCGUUCUCUAUAACAAUUGAGAAGUACAUAUGCACUUCCACGACAUAUAGGUUCACAUGGAUGUCUUUGAACGAGAUAUAGGGAGAAUGAUAGGAUCAGACUAAGACAUGAAAGUCUGUGACACAAACAAAUAUACGGCAUGUACAUACUGUUCUUUCAUAGUAUAUGGCAUGUAUAGAACGUUCACAUACAAACAAAACUACCAAAAAAUAUAUUAGUAGAUGUACCACAAUGGUAGCUCAUGUACAAUCCAAAACAAAUGGUUAGUUUAAUUCAUUAAGUGGAUCCAUCAGCAGCAGCAGUAACAACUUUAAGAAGAAGCGAUUUAUCAAGUAUGUAAUCAGACAAAAUUGGGGACACAUUUACCUUUUGUGAUUUUUAACCGUCCCGUCAAUGCAUCAUGUUCAUAAAUACGUUUGUCCGUCAGGCUGGGAGUGAUGUACUUUCCUUUUCUUUUUGCUCCUUACAAGUUGCUCUUCUCCGCGCGUUUAGAAUGCACCUUCUUUCUGUUGAUGAGGUCCUGUUAUGUUCCCCAUCAUCAUGAACCGUAUCUGGCAUGUUAUGGUUAGAUGUCGUGGUCUGCGAUAUUUCCUGUGGAACAAUCUUUACUAAAAUGAGUAGAAAGACAAUUAAAACUAGUGAAGAGUACCUCCAGACAUUAGACAUUAAGAAUUGCCCUUUUGGUUGUGUCGUGCGAUUAUACCUGGACUGCAUUUGGGGAGUUAAUCGAUAGUGGAGAUGCCGCUAAGAUGGCAGCGACUGGCAUUUUUUGUAUUGGUCGUUUAUUUUUCCUUGCUAUGUUGGUGUUGCUAGCAAGAUUUACCCUUUCGCAGUGAGAUCCAUACAGGGUAAGGUCGAGUGAGGCUACAAAUGUUACAACCAUUUAGUAACAGUAGAAAAACCUCAUCAACUAUAUGUAUGCUCAUUGUGAUAAAUAAUAAGAGAUUAUGCUCGCAAUUACCUGGCAUUGGCACUGGAGUCAUUCGGGAAUGAUGAUCAACAUUAGAGAUGUCGCCAAGAGGGGCUCCGUUAGAGGCAUCACCAAGAGGGGGUCGGCACAGGUUUGACGCCUCCAUAUCUUCAAGCGUUAUGCUCUGUCGGCACUCAAAAAAGAACUUAAAGAAAACAUUAGCUGAUCCGGUUAGCUUACAGAACUGCAUUCGGUUGAUGAGGAGUAAGAAACUGAAUAGUUUGUGUGUGAUUUUCCAAAACUACAUUUGUAAAAGCGCAGAAUGAACUGAUGUAUAUUCAAUAAUGUACUGAAUCCCAAAGAGCAAGUAUAGAAAGUUAAUAUAUCAAACAAUGUUUGCCUGGAAGAAGGCUGACAUAUAUGAGGCUAUUCUGCCUAGCAUGAGCAUGCAAUCUACAAGGUAUCUGUUUGCAUAGCAUUGCAACACCUAGAGUCCUUUUGGUUUGUGUUUCUCCCCUCGCUUUGCUCUACACAUACUCACCGUGUGUUCAGGUGAUAUUAUUUUAGAUUCUGAAUGUUACAAGUAGAGAAGAGAAAACCAUGCUUCAGUCAUGCAAUACGAUCAUUCCAACUGGAGUGUGAGUGAAUAGAUUAAUACCACUACCUAUUUCCACCAUUGAAAACCCUCUGCUAUUUCCUUUCCAGGCAUAUGGGACAUCUGAAAACAAUGAAAUACGUCGCCAUUGUGAAGCCUUCUAUAUAACUUCUCGUUCAUGGAUUUCCCAAACCUGACCCUUUCUAAAAAUUAACAUAGGUAUUGACGAGAAUCUAGUUGUUACAGUCGGUUUAAGCAAUAUCAUAGCUAUGUGGAGGUCAUACUAAUUUGCUAAUUUGCAGCCAGUUCCCUGACACCCUUGUCGGAAUUCAUACUAAUUUGCAGCAGUUCCCUGACACCCUUGUCGGAAUUCAUACUAAUUUGUAGCCAGUUCUUCUUUACCAAUAAUCUGCAACCAAGCCGAGUGUUUAGGUAUAAAAUUGUUUCUAGAAAUAUUCAUACUAAUUUGCUGAAUUCUAAGACACACAAAAGAUACUUUCAACAGGGGUACAAUAUUAAUCAAGAUAAAUUUAUGGCUUCAGAUCUAGUUCUAUACUGGUUCUCUCGCAUAGUGCAUGUUGUAAGAUUUAUAUAUUUUUUGUUUAGUUAAAUAGUGGAUAAAAAAAUCUAAGCCACCCAACCAAAUUUGUAAACUGCUUCUACAAAAUCCAAACAAAACUUAGUACUUCAAUUAUACAAUUUCACAAUCAAACAAAGCAUCAAUUAAAUAGUGUUAGUCCCAAGUGUACAAAUCACUUACAAUAAAGCUCGCUCACCCGUCUAGCUACGUCGUCGAUCUCGUAUCCAAACUUCUUCACAGCCUCUGUGUAGUCGUUGAUUAUGUCGAGGUUGCCCAAUGUUGUUGGUUAAUUAGAAUGCGGGCCUGCGGGUAAUCCAUGAACAGAUUGUAGUUCUGCUUGGGAUCAAUCUUUGGUAUGUGUCAAUCCAUCUAGUAUAAGAGUGAUCUAAACUCAUUUAUCAAAUACCCUUCUCUAAACAAACUCAUGUGAGAAAAUGAAUCUAGCAAGUGUAAAUUAGUAGCAUUAAGAAUUGUAAGAAGCCCUCGGCUCAAACUAUAAUAUAGCUAAAAAAUUAAUUAAUUUAAUAGUUGUGAUACAUAUGAAUUAAACAACCACUUGAUCAAAGAUUCAGUAGUUGGAAAACUACAAUUAUGGACAUAUAGUAAAGACAAUUUAGGCACUUAUAGUUGGAACACCACAUCUCGUUACUUUUGCCGCCAUGCCGUUCUCUCUGUCAAAUUAAUCAGUGAUUGCAUCAGAACAUAGCAGAUAUCUUGAUCAACUCAUAACAGGAUUCAAGUCAACAUUGAAAUCUGCAGGAAGAUCGUCGAUCAGCAAUAUGAGAAAAGAAAUAAUCAUAAAAAUAAUAAUCAAGAUGUUGUAAUCACUUGAUAUAUACGCAUGGCGAUUACAUAAUAGUGUAAAAAACUGAUUGGAACAAUACAAACAGAAAUGAAAAUUUCCUGUUAAGUUAGGAAAUCAGAAGCAUUGUUCAGCUUGCUAAAAUCAUGCUUCAUUUAACACCAUGAGAGCUCAAACUAAGUUCAGGUGGCUUUUGUUCAAGAGUGGUCAUGAAUUAUUCAGUAAAACAAAAAGAAGUGCAUGCGAUUUUAUCAGACAGCGCGGCAGCAGGCGCAUAGAACACACACACACUCAGUAAUGACAGCAAGCGCACAGCGGCAGGGGCACACCACACACACAUGCGAAGCAGCAAUAGCAACAAGCGCACAUCAGCAAGCAAGCACACAUGCCAUCGGCUACAAAAAGCUAUACGGCGGCUUGUCUCCCUCAACCUCCCUGGCAACCAAACUAACCUCGUCACCUCAUGCCCACCCUGUCUCUCCCGCUCUCCCUUCCAUCCAAUGCCGUCCAGCCUUCCAGCUGUCGUUCUCGUAUUACUCCCAACCGAAAACAUCCCGUCUAUCUGCGAUCAGCCUCCUUCCUCUCGUCUCCUCUCUCCAAUCCCCGUUGCCGCCUGCCUUUCUAGCAGAUCGGGGCAGAGCAAGGCAUCGAGGGAUGGUCCAAACCUGUCUUCUAAGGGAUCCAGGUCAGGCCGGCGCCUCCGAUGUGACGGCAGCGCCGGGUGGAGAAGGAAGACGGUCGACGGCCAGAGAGAUCGGGAUCGAGAGGAGCGGAGUUUCGUGCGGGGGUGGAGUUUUUUUGUGCGUGCGUAGGGGGAAGUGGAGACGAAAAAAAACCCGACAAAUAAACCAAACGAAAGUGGGAGACGAAAUAAAACCGUGGAGGCUAUCAUACCAAGUGAGACAUUAGGAAUAGAGAUCCUUAUGGUUUUACACUGAGCAGGAAGCCAUAAACCGCAAAAAAAACGACAUGUUUCUUUUACUAAAAGGAAAACUUAAGUCAGCACAUAGCAAAUUGUGGUAAGUGUACUUCAUAUUCAAGUGGUUUGCGUUAGCUUGAUUAGUCAGAUGAACAUGCUCUAGGCUAGGAGGACAUUAGCUAAGAAACUUAAUAUUAGCAAAGAAAAGAUGGAUAAUCUUACCUGGACUUCUUGCCAUCACGACGCCUUGACAGAGAGCACAAAAGAGUACUACAUCAAAAGAGUACUUAAUAUAUUAUCAAAGAAAAGAUGGAUAAUCUUACCUGGUUAUGUAGUAUACUACAUCAAACAAUGAUCACAUUUUUUAAAGAAAAAUAUGUACUACAUCAAACUGCAUGAAAAUCCCAAUCAAUAUGAGACAAUGUGGUGCGUAAAUGAGUGCAGAAACAAGAGUAUAUUCAUUUAUAUAAAAAUAAAAUAAAUAUGCUCUAUGAAAAUGACACACUUGAUCUGUGAUAUGGACUUCUGCGCAACAUGCUUUAGAGUCCCCUACUGAAUGACUUAAAUAAAUAUACUAUAAAAAUUUCAGAUGUGUCAUGAAUAGCUCACAAGAACACGGUACAAGUUAAUGCAUUACAAGUGCUUAGAAUGCACCCGAAAAUAUAGUCGGUAGAGGAGCAACAACAGACUUGUUUAUAUCUAAAAAAACAGACUUGUUUAUCUUGUUUAUCAGUGUCUGCAUAUUGCGUAUCAUGUUAUGAAAAAACAUCAUCUGACAUACAUCUUUUGGUGAAACAUCAUAUAUUACAACUUACAACAAGGAACUGUAAUUUUUUCUUUUAUUUUUGCGGGAAAGAAGGAACUGUAACUUAAAGAGCAUGACAACAUAGCUACCUAGAAAUGCUUUGAAUCCAUGAUUCAGCGAAGUCAUCUCAUAGAUGCAGCAACCUGAAAAUUGCAGAUGUUUAGCCAAGAGAAUAACGCGAGCAACACAUGCAACGAAAUGUUAAUUAGAUUUGAAUACUUGCCUAGCAACCAUAUGUUGGACUUGGAGCCAUAUGGAAUAUCAGCAAGAAGUUCAGAGAACAUGUAACUGGUUCCUACAACCUCAGAAGAGACAUAAUGUAUCAAAUCACAAGCAACUUAAUUAGAACAUCUUCCUAUGGGUUGAGCAAAACAACUUAAGGGCUCUAAUAAAUCAUCAGAAGUUGAUACUUUGGGCGGCCCAAAAAUCACUUGUUUCAGACAAUAUAUUCAGAACACAAGAUAAUCCCGUCAGUUAUUUCAACUAUUCACAGUGCAGUUAUUUUUCAAGUAUUUUUCCUAUCUGGUUUUAGUAGAGCAUACUUACCAAUCCAUAUAUUUUGGUCAUUGGCAAGAAAUAUACCCGAACACUAAAAAAAAUACAAUGCGUGGUAAGUAAUCAGCUAGGAUUAAAAAUACAAUUAAGAUAAGGCUGCUAGUGUUAUCACAAGUUCAGCAACUAAAAAUGCAUAGACCGACUCUCUCAAUUUAUUAGCGAUCCAAGCCAUCCAACUAACCUGAAGAAGUCGGGUAAGUAGAAGCAGCAGGCUAGUUUUCCUCGGAUUCUGAAACUGUUGCAUGUGCAAUACUAAAUCAUAGAAACCAGUGAAAUUUCGUGAACUCUGGAUGGAUCAUGAGAUGCUUACCGUUUUUCUAUCCAGGUGCCAGAACCUGAACGCAUGGGUGGCGGCGCCGCUGCUAUACGAAACAUCAUGCGCAUACGAGCCAAAGGGGCUGUCCAAGACGCCAUCAGGGGACGUCAUGCGACCCUUCUCGUUGCAAGGGUGGAAUAGGGAGGCGACAUCGAUCUGGUGGUGUGGGAAAGAUGCGGUUGGACGGGAUUGGCGGCAUCGGUCUGGUGGUGUGGAGAGGAGAGGCCCUUCCAGGCCUGGCCGACACUGCUCUUGUCCCCGGCAGAGCGGGAGAUGAGUAGGCCGCCACCGAUCCCGUUUCCGGCCUCUUUCGAUUUGCCCUCGCACAGCCGACCGCGUCUCGUCCUCGGUGGCACCACGGAGACUGAACGCAGGACAAUCAUGAAGACGAAGACGUGGAAAAAGGGGGAGCGGGAUUAGCGUGGCGGCUCCUCUCGGAUAUCGAUGCCGGCUCCUCGAUAGCCUCUCGGCGGCGGAGCAGGAGGCGGGGCGGCGGCAGAGUGGGAGAAAGAGGGAAAGAGAGAGGUCGCAGCGGGAGGGGGUGGAUCGAGAGGAGGGGUCGCAGCGGGAGGGAGAGAGAGAGGGAGCGAUCGUUGGGUUUUUUUGGCACCGAUUUGUUUCGCAGAAGGAUAGUGAGUUAACGGAGGUGGGAGGAUAACGAAAAUAAAACGGAGGUGAGAGAAUGACGAAAAUAAACCAGUAAAAAUAAACCGCGUGGACUAUUCAUCAAGUCGUCAAUUAGGAGUAGAGACUAUCGUGGGAAUUUUUAUUUGCGUCUUUCCUUGACGCUCAUGGACUCAUGGUAAGAGAUGCAGGUGUAAUCUUUAGCGCCACUUCGAAAUUGAAGUUGGUGUGACACCAAGCAAUAAAGCGGAGCCUUCAUCAUGCAGCUAAGAGUAACUUCAUUUUUUGCAGGUUAUCUUCGGAGCCACUGCAUUGAUCCGUACGUAGUUGCUACUUACUCCGACGGAGCCCAGAGAGCGUUUGGUUACUGGAUCUAUCCGUUGGGAGAUGGUAGCACGCGAUAUCUUUAACCGAUUUGGAUGGCGGUCAUGUAAUAGGAUAGGCAAUUAGUUUCCUUAUCUUGUUUAUGCCGACCGGUUGUGGCGCUAUGGUUACUUCUUUAUAGGCUCUAUGUGAGUUUUUUUUACUUUCAUUACAACUUUAAGACCUUUGUUGAACCUAUUUGCUUUUUAAUAAAGUUGGCCGAAUGCAUCGUUCUGGUGCAGAGACUGGGGAGUCCCCCCUUUUCGAAGAAAAAAACUUCAAUGGGGCGACCCAUUUCGUCUGCUGCCGUUCGUUUGUAUCGGCACGAACAAAAUAGGAGGCCCAAUGCGCCGAUCCAAAU